rnacentral:rRNA from 1 species
UACGUAGGGGGCAAGCGUUGUCCGGAUUUAUUGGGCGUAAAGAGCUCGUAGGUGGUUUGGUAAGUCGGAUGUGAAAUCUCCAGGCUCAACCUGGAGGGGUCAUUCGAUACUGCCAUGACUAGAGGUCGGUAGGGGAGUGUGGAAUUCCUGGUGGAGCGGUGAAAUGCGCAGAUAUCAGGAGGAACACCGGUGGCGAAGGCGGUUCUCUGGGCCUGUACUGACGCUGAGGAACGAAAGCUAGGGGAGCGAAUGGG